CCAGGUCACACAACUGGUUAGUGGUAAUCCUGAAACUAGACUUCAGUUUUCUUUGUACCAUAUGACACUUGUUACUACUUGAACCAUCUAUAUUCCUAGAAAAGUGUCAAACUAUUCAGUUUCUCAUACAAACCCAAUGGCUGACUCGAAAUCAAAGCUGCUAAGUUAUAAUUCACCACUAGAGUGGGCAUCAAGAAAGAAAGUUUCAUAUGAAUUCUGCAUCUAUUUAUACUUUAACCCCAGUGGGUAAGUUGUAAAAGCAUGCCUUUAUAUUCCUGAGGACAUGACAAACCAUCAAAUUCACACAUCAUUAUGAAACAGAUGCUUUUCCUAAUUUCUGUUGCUAACCUAAAAGGCAUGGCAAAACUAAUCAUUAAUAAAGAUGGUCCCUAACUUACAAUGGUUCAACUUAACUAUCUGUCAACCUUAGGUGGGGUGUAAAAGUGAUACACAUUCAGUAAAAAACAUACUUUGCAUUUUGAAUUUUGAGGUUUUCUCAGGUUAAGGAUACAUGGUACGAUACCCUCCCAUGAUGGUAGGCAGUAGCAUACGAUAAAUGAGGAUAAACAACCUAAAUACUUACAACCAUUCUGUACCCAUUCAACCAUUCUAUUUCUCACUUCAGUACAGUAUCUAAUAAAUUAUAAGAUAUGUUCAACACUUCGUUAUAAAAUAGGCCUUGUGUUAGAGGACUGUGCCCAAUUGUAGAGCUAAAUUUAAGUGUUCUGAGCACAUUUAAAGUAGGCUAGGCUGAGCUACGAUUUUCUGUAGGUUCUAUGUAUUAAGUGCUUUUUGACUUAUAGCAGUUUCAGCAGACAGUGAGUUUAUUGGGAUAUAACCCCAUCAUAAGUCAAGAAAGAUCUAUCUGUAGCACAGCAGGGAUCAUGUUGGGGUUUUGUAAGACCAGGCUUGAAUUUGCACUCAUAAACAGGUAAAUGUUACCAAUUCAUUACUCAUCUUCCAAUUUCCAUGUCACUUGUUAACUCUGUCUUCUGUAAAAUUUCACCUGAAGGACCCAUUAAGGAUAUUACAAUAUGUAAAAAAUAGAUAACCUUUCCAUUUGACAAAUGGCUUUUAAUUUUCUGUCUUAGUGGUCACCCACAGCAGUGGCUGCUGUGGAUAACUUCCUUCAUCUCACAAAUGACUACCUACCAAAAUUAAAGUAGCACAUAAUGAAAUCUGAUCUAAUAAAAAGUGUGGUUAAUUGCUAUGCCAAAUUAUAACAUUAAUUACUUGAUGCAAAUAGAAGUACAAAGGGAUAUUUCCUGAGUGGCUUUAGCUCAGCUUUUGUUUUUCCCUCCCAUAUUUGUUGCUCACCAUCUUGCUUCUCAUUUUCUUUCCUUCCUUCUAUCUUCCCCCUCAUCUCUGCAAAACUCAGAGCUGCGUUUGGUUGUGGGAAAGGGGGAAGGUGAAGGGCAAAAUAAUUUCAAUUGGGGUUAAAACAUAUCACCAGUAAUUCAUAGAUUGUUCUUUCUCCUAAGGCUUCAACCAGGAGCUUCAGAAGAACUAAAAGUCAUAUUUCUUUGCCCAGUUAUUGGUUUAAGGAAACCAGGGAUCACCAUGUAUUUUACGAAAAAGGAUGUGCAUCCUGUCAGAUUGUGGCAUGACACUCGGCCCCUCAAUAAGAAGCCAUUGGGUUCCAACUACAGAAGAAAUCUCAAACCUGACCCUUGCCUCUAAGGAGCAGACAAUGGCAUCUCCUCCAUCAUCCCAAAUGAAGAAUCAUCUUGGAAAAUUGUGACAAAUUUAUAGACUAAAGUUUCUUCUCCGUUGUAAGAAUCUUGAGACGUCUGGAAUUCUAGACACUGUCUCCUAAAAAUUUCCAGGAUAAACUUCCCUCCUUCUUUUACUAUAGGUGCACUCUACAAAAGAAGCUGAGAAUCCCCACAGCAGAUGAUGGAGAACCUCUUCAGUCUCUCCCUCCUUCCUUUCUUGAUCAUUAUCCCUAUGAUUGAUCAGCCCCACUCAAUGAAUUAGAAGGGCGGAGGCUCAUAGCCCAAUCCAAUGUAACUGAAUAAAGCAGCAUGAGCAAAGGGAAGGACACAGAAACUGCCAUCUAAAAAAGGUGAAGACCUGGACCCCCAUUAUCACACCUGCCCCUUUGGCUAAUUGCAAAAGAAGAAAACGGAACAUGAGCUCCAGCCAGAAAAGAUUCACAGCUGCCACUCUUUAGUUGCUACUUUAAUGGAAAACACAUGUGCAAGAUACCACCCAGGAGACAACUGUGCUCUGACAAAAGGAACGUCACCAGAAAAUGAGCCACGUGAGAGGACUUAUUCUCUUGGAUAGGCUGAACUCAGAAAGAAGGUUGAUAGUAUUGUUCUUAUAUAAAUAUGUGCUGGUCCAAAGAUGAGAUGUGGGACAGAAAUUGAUCUGUAGCAACCAAGUUGAAAGGCAAUGAUGUAAAUUAGCCCUCAACAAUUCUCACUCCACAACAAUUUUACCAUCA